rnacentral:rRNA from 1 species
UACGUAGGGGGCAAGCGUUGUCCGGAAUCAUUGGGCGUAAAGCGCGUGUAGGCGGCCAGAAAAGUCCGCUGUGAAAACUCGAGGCUCAACUUCGAGCUGUCGGUGGAAACUUUCUGGCUAGAGUCCGGAAGAGGAGAGUGGAAUUCCUGGUGUAGCGGUGAAAUGCGCAGAUAUCAGGAAGAACACCCGUGGCGAAGGCGGCUCUCUGGGACGGUACUGACGCUGAGACGCGAAAGCGUGGGGAGCAAACAGG